UUGACGAAGCUUUUAGCCUUUAAAACUUUCCCAUCUCUUCUCGAUCUCCCUUCCCCUCAUGGUGAACGUGUAGUGGAUACAUGCGAUUUUACUUCACCGGGUGAUUUUGCCGCUCUCACCGGGUGAAGGGCGUGGUUUCCGGUUCUUCUUGCUACUUUUUCAGUUUCUGGUUUUUGUUUCUCAGAAAAUGAUUCCGUUUCUGGUUGCUCUUCUCCGCCACCUCCCUCCCCAUCACCGCCGAAUUUUUCUUCACGAUCGGCGUCUCCUGCUUCGCGUUAGUUUUUCUACACGAACGACAGGUGCGCACCUUCUAAUGCUAUGCAGCGGAAAAAAAGUCAUCAAAGGAGGAGAGGACACUCGAGCUCAAUGACUCAGUAUGUGCUCUGGUUGUUUACUGUGCUCCUUGGUUUCUUAAUAAUUAAGAAAUGAUGACGAUACAACCCAUGAAAGUUAGUUACUGUGAUUUGGAGUAAUUGAAAAGUUGUAGAUUUUUUCCCAAUUCGAUGUAAACGUGAGGGGGUUGUUUUGAGGAUGUGAAGUCAUGUAAUUGGAGUUUCCGCUGUUUUUUGGUCUGUGUGAUUUUAGCAUGCAAUGAUGGCUGAUCUGCAAGAAGCAAUUCAUCGGCCAAGAGAAGAAUGAGGACCUACUGUGAAAGACCUGGAUGUAGGUCGGGCGUCACGGGUCAAAGGAGCUGAGGCUUGCAAGUGGUUCUCGAGACAGCUGAUGCUCCCAGAUGGAUGAACAAAUAAUCAACUGCAGGUUUUGAGAAAGCAAUCCAAGCAUAUGCUAUUCAUUUUCUUUCCUUGGCUUAUCAAAAGGUCCCCAUAACUGUGAUUUGUUGAGGAAUAUACAGCAAAGGAAAAGGAAAGAGUGGCACAUAAUGUGCAAGAAUGUAACUCUGGUUAAGAAAGGAGUCAAUCCCUCGAUCCCCAAAACGUGCGAGAUCUAAGGCACAUAUCGAAACCAAGCUUCACAAAGAUUGAACUAUUGAAGACCAGAUGGAGAGGAGCACUGGUGAUUUGAUGGAGAGGAGCUUUGAUGCUACAGUGCUUUGAUUCACUGGUGCUUUGAUUCCCUGAAGAUCUGGUUGAGCUACAAUCUUUUGAAUACUAGAGUGGGAACUAUUAGCUUUGUAUUAGCAUCAGUUGCUUUCCGAAACUGCAAUCGACAUUCUCUUUCGCUUCAGAUCCCAGGUAUGUGGAACUAUUUCGUACAAAUUUUCUUGGAACGCAUAGUUAAAUUGUAUAAAGUUGAGGUAGUUUGAUAAAUUAGAGAGGAGGAAGGUGAAAGAAAAAGUGGUUUGGAGAGAAUAUCUGGAGUUUUGGUUUCAGUUAUACUGUUCUGCUGUCUUUGUAUGGAUCUUGUGCUAAAUUCAAGUGGGUUCUCUCUUUUUAAAGCAUUUUCUUGGUUUUACUGCCAUUAAUGUUUCCAUUUGCAGAUUUCACAUCUUAUCCGUAUAAUGUGGUUGCAAAAUAGAAUUUUCGUUUGUUCAUUUCGUUGUGAAAAUACUUACAAGUUGUAGAAAGUUGAGAUGGUUUGAUAAAUUAGGGAGAGGAGGAAGGUGAAAGUCAAAGUAGCUUGGAGAGAAUAUCUGGAGUCUUUGGUUUCUUUUUUGAUAUUCUGCUGGUUGUUAUAAUGGAUCUUUGUGCUAAAUUCAAGUGGGUGACCUCUUAAUUUAUCAUUUUAUUAGGUUUACUGCUAUUAAUGUUUUCAUAUUUGGCUUCACACUGGACUUUGUUGUGACCCAGAAGUUCUCUUUGUGGUUAACUCUCUCUGCUUGAACAUUCAAUAUGCUGCGUCUCAACAUUGGUCCUGCUCCACGUGGAGCUAUUGGGCUUCUUCAUACAUGUGCACAUGACGCUCCAGGUGUUGACCCGAUUCUUCAGCAGUGGGAACAGAUCAAUCUGUUGGUGAGAUCAAGAAAUUUUUAACCUUUUAUUGACAGUGCCUAUCAGGUAGGUUGUUGCAAAAUAUCAAAAAAAAAACAGAGAGAGAACCUAUGAUUUUUAUCACCACUUUGAUAGAAAGUAUUCCUGUGUGAACAUUGAUCAAUGAGAGUCGACAGACAAUGGUAUAGAUUCUUAUGCAGCUGCUGCUGUUAAAGCUGAUCCCCAUAGUUUAUCGGUUCUUCCAGCAAGUGUUCGGUUAUUCUUCAACUUGCCCACACAAUUGGACAUGGAGAGGCAAGCAGACGGUCUGUUAAUAUAUGUUCAUAUGGACAAUUGGACAGUGUUAAAAUAUAGUUAAUAUGUCAAUUGAACAGUGUUAAGCAGACAGUAUGUUAAUAUGUUCAAUUAGACGGUGUUGAGUUGGGUUUUAGAUGUUAAUUUAUGUUUGAGAAAAGUAUGGUAAUUUCAAGUGGAACUUUGUUACUUAA